AAGACACAGUGUUCUAUUGAUUUCGUUGCUUGCUGUAAGCAGUUAAAUCUGUGUAAAAGUGGGUUCACUUUGGAUCCAGUUUGGUUUUGUUGUCAGCUAAAGGUGUUACAUAAACGAAACGCUUUAACCAAAUUUAACUCUUUAUAGAUCUGUUAAGAUAUCAUGAUUCGCGAUGUGACGUACCUGUGGCAUUUCGUUCAAUUGUGCUCUUGUGUGUGCCAACGGCAUGUUAAGCUUGUGUUGCCACGGGAUAAGGGGUUUACAAAACUGUACGCCAUUAUCAUCUAGUGUUCUUGAUCGACUUCUCAACCAACACCAAGUACAACCCCUUAACGACGAUGGCCUAUUGCGUCUCUAUAGAUCUGUGGCUUCCAAUGCCACAGAAGCUAAAAAGUAAAUGAAGAGAUUCACCAAUGCUAUGAAUUGCAGCCCUGGUUCGACAAAAAAAGUUGAAUUCAUUUAAAUUAUUUGUCUGCUGAAAUCAUGAAAUAAAC